AAAAAACACAUUAACUUGGAGUUUUAAAAGGCAAUGUUCUUGUUUUAUCUUUCAGCCCAAGAACUUGCCAGUCAAGAUGAAAAACUUCUUCUAAUGGAAUCCAGCUUGAAAGCUACUCAAGAGCCUCUAACUGAGCAAAUAGCAGAAACAGUUCGCCAAGAACAGAACAGUAGAAAACCCCAGGCAGAGCUGAAGACAGUGACAGAAGGGAUUAUUGCUUCUGAAGAAGAAAAAAAUGAUUACAAGUUUUAUUAUCAUUGAAGAGAUGAGAUGACGUGACAAUCUUUCAAAUAAUCAAAAAUGCUACAUACUUCUCUAAAACUUAUGGCUCAUCUAUCGAAUAAAGUGGCAUAGCUAGAUAAUUUCUAAACAUUUUACCUCUGAGAUAUUAUUGGGCAGCACAUCAUUAAGGAUGGACACCUACUGCAUGCAAUAAAGUGAAUGAAUAUUUCUUAAAGUGGAAGCUGAGAUAAAGGAUUUAAUACAGAUGGCAGUGGACAUUCAGUAGUAAAAAGUCUUUGCUUACUGAAAAAAGAAUAUAUUCUGCUCAAUAAAAAUGUAACAAAACAGUGGAUGUGAUGCUUUCUGAAACUGACCCAUCCACAUGAGAGAGGAGAAAAAUGUUAUUCUGGUCAGAAUAACUUCAACGAACUGAAACCAAACAGAUACAGGACUGAAGUGAAAGGAAGCAGAAGAGGCUGAGGAUAGCAUGGAAGGUGUUGAUUUUCUAGGUGGCCUCACACAUCAUAAGCCUGAAGCAAGAGCAUCUGUGGGGAAUUCUGUCCAUUAUCAGAGAACACAUUCUGCAAUCCUCUUGACUCCAACCCAGUGUCACUCUUGGAUUACUUUGCAGUCCCUGUGUGGUCCAGACUCUCUCUAAGGAUUUUCUCUUUUCUUAUGUUACAACUUCAUUGCAAGAGGUAUGAAAGAGGGGAGAAUUUAAGUUGGAUUUUCAUCAUCAAUUGUGAGGAUUUGAUUUUACUAUUUCACCAAAAAAAAUUUAAAUAUGUUGCAUGCAGUUGAAGAAGAUAUAAGUAAGCCAGAAAAUAAUUAUCACUACAUAGUAUUUCACAGUGCAAACGUUUCAGAUUGUUACUGAAAUUAAUAUGUUGACAUUACUUUUUUCUGUUAAUUUAUAACACUAUUGUCCACUUUGUUCAGUUUAUUUCAUGUAUCACAAAUAGAUCUAAUUUCUUGAAACAUGUAUCACCAUGAAAUGAUCACUAACAACAAUAACAAAAUAAUUACAUUGCCCUUAGAUUCUUGGGUCUUAGUGAUUUUCUUCUAAAAAUAAAUCAGAUGGAUUUAAACGAGGGAAGCCAACUAUUUAAUAAGGGUAAGAAGAUAAAGGGUCCAAAAUUUAAAUUUAUGUUACUUAUAAACACAUCAUAUGUUCUAUUUUUGUAAAUAAUUUCAGAGAAAAAUAGGCUAGUUUUUUUUUCAAAAGCUAUCAUCAGGUAACUAAUAUUUUAUUUACAUGUAUGAUUAUUAAUCAGUUUCAGUUCAAAACAAUGCAAUCGUUUAGUUUCUUCAGACUCUAGUUGCACAUGGAUGAGUCUCUCAUUUUUAGUCAAACUCCUAUCACUAAUCACAGAGGAACAAAGAUGUGUCCAAAUUUUGAAGGAACAUGGGUGUCCCAAAGCUCAGAUAAUGAAUUUUAGUUCUCUCUGGAGAAAAGCCUUUCCUGUAUGUAGUCUGGCAAUAUUCCAAGAUUUCUUUUUAAAAGUAACUCCAUAUGUGUACCGAAAAUAAGCUAGUGAUGUUUUAAAUCAACUGGAAAGAGAGGCUGUUCUUUUCAAUAUUUUUUUCCUGAGCAUAACUUUGAAGUGCAGCAUUUGGGGAUUAUGAAGGUUUGGGUUACCUGCUGAAUGAAGGCAUGGAAAAUUACUUGAAAGUACCCUUUUUUUUGAAACUCUACUUUAAACUUAUGAAAUAUCACCUGUGGUUAAGAAAAGGUAUGCAAGUCAAAGCAUUUUUUUCAACCUAAAGACAAAGAGUUAAUUUUAAAUUGUGAUUAUAUUUUCCAAGGUUUCUAUGGCUGCAAGAUCAUAAUCAAAAGUUUAUGGUUCACUUAUUUCAGAGAGUCAUUUAUAUAAAGAAAGCUUAAUAUACAAAACUGGGACAAUGCAAUAUCAAGAAAAAAUAGUAAGAUAUUGAAAAAGAAAAGGAGAGCUGCUGGAAUUGCUAAAACUACCCUAUAAAACAAUUUAUUAUUAUGUACUGUUUUUUGAAAAUAUGUAUGCCAUAAGACUUAAAAUUCAUAUUUAUGAGUAAACCAUAAGGAGAUAGCAUAAAGAAUAUUUAUUAUAUAUCUCACAAAAGACAUAAAUAAGGAUUUUAAUUGGACAUCACAAGUUAGCACCUAUCAGAAGAUAAAUGGAAGAAUAUCGGAAUGAUGAAAUAUUAUACAGCUGUCAAAAUGUAUACAUUGGAACUAUAUAUAUCAACUUUGGACUCACAGACCUAUUACUAAAUGAACAAGGCAAAAUGCAGGGUGUUUUAUACAGUUUCGAAAUAAUUGUAUGUCAGUUAAAAAUUAUAAGUAUUAUAUAUAUAUAGAUAUAUGUUGUGAAAAAUAAAGGUACUAAAAUAUAAAAGCAUUAUUAGCCUCAAAUUUAAUCAUAAUUAUGUUUCUGGGGCAGAAGAGUAGGAACAUGGAGGAUUACAACAUUAUUUGCAUUGAUACGUUAUCAAAAAUGUACAAUAAUCAGAUGCAACUACAACAGAAUAUUUUUAUUUCUUAGUUGUGUAUGUGUUAUCCUAUUUUUCUACAUAUUUUUACAUCUUUUUAAAGAGAUGGUUUUGUGUGUGUGUGAGAAAAUUGAAUUAGAAACACAUCCAGAAAUUGAAUCACUAUGCUAUAGUUGGAUUGCUGCUUGAACUAUUAAAUCAAUUGGAAAAUACUUGGCUCUUGGUAAAGGGUUUUACUAAACUCUAUUAUUAAUUUUUCUCAAUGUAGAUGUUAGCAUUUUCCUUCCACUAGUUUUUAAUAGUCAAAUAUAAAUUCAUAGCAUCACCCAGCCCAAAAUAAAAAGGGAAGAAUCUACAUCUUGAAAGAAAAAAAUUCCAGCUCCCACACAACCCAAUUUAAAAACUGCAAUAGACAUCAUGGGGAGAAAAUUCACAAACAGCAGAUGUUGUGGUUCAAUUUUCAAUUGUUGAUAUUAAACAAGAACACCUCUGAGAUUCCACAUCCUGUGUUUAUGGAUUGCAGUUAAAAUGGUAAAAUGGUAUAUUCUGGUUCUCCUAAAUAUUUUAUGAUAUGAGGCAUUUAUGAUGAAGAAUCAUUUUACUCACAAAAUGUUAGAUUCCUCUAGCAUUCUGUUUUAACCUGGAAGGAAACUAUACCUAUAACUUGUACUGAAUGAGAUCAGGAACAAUGAACAAGCUAGUGAUAUAAAUUGAUUUUGUGCCAAGUAAAUAAUUUCAUUUUCAGAGAGGUAAAUGUUUAAUACAACGUGGAAUAUGAUCAUUUCUUAAUAUUAUAUCUAGUAAGAGCCUUAAAACAUGUUAAUGCAAUUGAUAGAUAAAUAGGCAAACUCCUUAAAUUUAGUAAUUUGAGUUGAAUAGUAAUAAUGAUAAAAUGUUCUAUAUUACUAACAUAGAUCACGACUAACAUCAAUAUAAAAUUGUGUCUCUUUAAAUUGAUAAGGUAGCAGAAAGUGAAGCUUGUCAAGUUACAAUUUAGUCUUCAGUUAGGUCUAAUUAGGUUUUUAUUCUAGAUGUUUUAAUAGUUACAUGAGGAAAAGCUACAUUUCCUAUAGCUUCUAUUUUUAAUUCUUUAUAGACAUCUUGCCCACCCCUGCUAUUGAUUACAAGGAUGUGAGAAAGUAAAGGUAUUUUUUUGCAAUGAGUUUUCUUUGACCUGAAACAAAAUAGUGCCCUUGCAUGCCCUUGCAGAGUAUAUGAGCUCUGGCUAGGGAUUGCAUGAGUUUGAAUUAGGAUAUUAAUUUUUUUUUUUUUUUUUUGCUACUUAUAGGGUUGUACCCAGAGGAUACCAAGUUCCCAGGCUGGAGGUCUUUUUUUUUUUUUUUUUUUUUGAAUUCCUUAAUCACUCAUUCUUUUCACCUUUAAAAUGAGGCUCUUUGCUUUGUGAAGAUUCAGUGGGAUAAUGUAUAAUACAGAAGGGUACCUAGUGUUUGGCACCUGGGGAGCACUUAGAGCUGAUCUAUCCACAGUAUAAUUAUAUAAUUAUUAUUUUUAUUGUUGUUGGAAAGGAACUAAUUUUAUAAAUAGUCUCUGGCUUCUUGGCAUCUUUUUUGGACCCCCUUUAAUUCAUUCUCAUAUGAAAAUCAUUUAGAAAAUCAUAUCUGAUUAGGUUUCUUCCCCGAUUAAAACAAUUAAUAUUUUCCGAUUACUUGGAGGGCAAAACCCAAAUAUUCAUAAUAUACUUAUUAGGGUCCCACAUAAUAUUACCCUUGCCUUCUUCAACAUCCUCAUUUCUCACAAUUUUUCCCAUUGCCUUUUGCCCUACAGAAAUGUUUUGUCCUGGAGUUCCUGUUAGGCUCAGUGGUUUAAG